AGCAUGGUCUUAGCUUGCUAAGGCUGAUGGCGACCGGCGCACGGGUGAGUAACACGUAUCCAACCUGCCGUCUACUCUUGGCCAGCCUUCUGAAAGGAAGAUUAAUCCAGGAUGGGAUCAUGAGUUCACAUGUCCGCAUGAUUAAAGGUAUUUUCCGGUAGACGAUGGGGAUGCGUUCCAUUAGAUAGUAGGCGGGGUAACGGCCCACCUAGUCAACGAUGGAUAGGGGUUCUGAGAGGAAGGUCCCCCACAUUGGAACUGAGACACGGUCCAAACUCCUACGGGAGGCAGCAGUGAGGAAUAUUGGUCAAUGGGCGAUAGCCUGAACCAGCCAAGUAGCGUGAAGGAUGACUGCCCUAUGGGUUGUAAACUUCUUUUAUAAAGGAAUAAAGUCGGGUAUGCAUACCCGUUUGCAUGUACUUUAUGAAUAAGGAUCGGCUAACUCCGUGCCAGCAGCCGCGGUAAUACGGAGGAUCCGAGCGUUAUCCGGAUUUAUUGGGUUUAAAGGGAGCGUAGAUAGAUGUUUAAGUCAGUUGUGAAAGUUUGCGGCUCAACCGUAAAAUUGCAGUUGAUACUGGAUGUCUUGAGUGCAGUUGAGGCAGGCGGAAUUCGUGGUGUAGCGGUGAAAUGCUUAGAU
rnacentral:rRNA from 1 species